rnacentral:tRNA from 1 species
GGAGAUGUAGCUUAGUGGCACAGCACUUACCUAGCAAGUGUGAGGUCCUGGGUUCAAUCCCUGUUACUGCA